rnacentral:rRNA from 1 species
UACGUAGGGGGCUAGCGUUGUCCGGAAUCAUUGGGCGUAAAGCGCGUGUAGGCGGUCCGGUAAGUCCGCUGUGAAAGUCGGGGGUCAACCCUCGGAUGCCGGUGGAUACUGUCGGGCUUGAGUACGGAAGAGGCGAGUGGAAUUCCGUGGUGUAGCGGUGAAAUGCGCAGAUAUCAAGGAGGAACACCAAUUGCGAAGGCAGCUCGCUGG